CCUACGGGGGGCAGCAGUGAGGAAUAUUGGUCAAUGGCCGGAAGGCUGAACCAGCCAUGCCGCGUGAAGGUCAGUGCCCUAUGGGCGUUAAACUUCUUUUGUGCGGGAGCAAUAAUGGUCACGUGUGGCCAGACGAGAGUACCGUACGAAUAAGCAUCCGCUAACGCCGUGCCAGCAGCCGCGGUAAUACGGGGGAUGCAAGCGUUAUCCGGAUUUAUUGGGGUUAAAGGGGGCGUAGGCUGUGAGGUAAGUCAGCGGUGAAAUGCCCCGGCUCAACGGGGUGAAGUGCCAUUGAUACUGGCUUGCUGGAAUGCGGAUGCCGUGGGAGGAAUGUGUGGUGUAGCGGUGAAAUGCAUAGAUAUCACACAGAACACCGAUUGCGAAGGCAUCUCACGAAUCCGCGAUUGACGCUGAUGCACGAAAGCGUGGGUAUCAAACAGGAUUAGAUACCCUUGUAGUC
rnacentral:rRNA from 1 species